rnacentral:lncRNA from 1 species
UCUGUCCUUCAUGAAGUCUUUACCUCCAGGGUUUCUGCUAGCAAUACUUCUCAUGCUACUCAGCCUGCUGGUUUUCUCUCCGAAUAACGCCGAAGCAGCAGCAAGUACUCUAAAAUCCUUUAUACUGCAAUAUAUAUAUAUAUAUAUCCUACUUUAUCACUGGCUUUGGCUUGACUCUCGUAUUGAUUUACUUUUUCAGGAGAUGUUCCUGGGAACUCGAUGAAUUCUACCAGUUGCACCAACUGUGGAGGUGUGCUUCCAUGGCGGUUGCGCAGAAUUUUGAGAAGCCCAAUGUAUGCUCCACCAUCGCCCAAAAAAGCAACUUCUCCGGGUGUUGGGCAUUAGAACGAUUAGUGAAUUUGUGUUGACAUGAGAACUUGAGAAGUUGUAGUGGGUACAUGGGGACUGUUUCAGCAAAC